rnacentral:tRNA from 1 species
GGAUUCAUAGCUCAGUUGGUAGAGCACUCGCCUCUUAAGCGAUAGGUCCCGGGUUCGAACCCCGGUGAAUCCACCA